CGCCGUCUCUUCUUCUCUCCUCGGUUCCGUCGUCCGCAAGCUUUCAAGCCCUUCUUCGCGAGCUUCAAGUCCUUCAUCCGCCGAGCUUCGCUCCCGUUCGAACGAGGUUAGCGUCGUUCAAAUUGGUGCAGUUCGUCCAAGAGACAGCGAUCGCAGCUUGUCGAAGCAACGCGGCGACACGGUGCGGGCUCGUCGUGGGAACAUCACGCCGGUGGCAGCGAGGCGCUCUUCCCAAGUCCGAAUGGGCCGCUCCGAUUUCAGUCACGGAGCGUGCGAUUUCUUGGGAAAGACCCCGGCUUCCGCAUUCUCUCUUCUUCGAUACUCCUCGGUCUAUUCAUGCCGCUGCAAUUCUCGAAUGAAAGGAAUUUCCUUUCCCUCCCCAAUGCCCUGCGCCGUAAGAUGGACCCAAGCUGGCGAGGUGGGUUCUUCUCCCUCGGCGUAAAUUUGGGAUUUGUCUCGCACCGGCGUUGCUCCAGCAAAGGCCUUUUUGGUUUUGGCUUCCGACGGUAAGCUCCGAUGUCUUGCUUUUCUCGCUGCUGUGAUCCAUGAACUGUUUGCGCAUUCGCCAGAUGCGCUCAGUAUUGAAUUUAACGGUAAGGUUAGCGACUUCUAAGGACGUUGCAGAAAAGGGGGUCGAAUUCUUCUUCUUUGUCGGUUUUUAUGGCAUCCUCGAGUUUGUAACUUGACUCUCUUGUUGUCAGUAAGCUAGAUAUGGACUUCUCUGAGUAAUACUUUCGUGGUAAUCUGCAGGAGGCGGAUGA
rnacentral:lncRNA from 1 species